rnacentral:rRNA from 1 species
UACGUAGGGACCAAGCGUUGUUCGGAUUUACUGGGCGUAAAGGGCGCGUAGGCGGCCCUGUAAGUCCGUUGUGAAAGUCAAAGGCUCAACCUUUGAAAGCCGAUGGAUACUGCAGGGCUAGAGUCCGGAAGAGGCGAAGUGGAAUCCUGGUGUAGCGGUGGAAUGCGCAGAUAUCAGGAGGAACACCAAUAGCGAAGGCAGCUCGCUGGGACGGUACUGACGCUAAGGCGCGAAAGCGUGGGAGCGAACGAGG